AACAGUUAGCCAGAAGCAGAACUACAGAAACAAAAAAAACAAGGUUAGUACAUUAGAGACUUUCCCAGAGCUGUGGAUUUUGAUGGAUUAGGUCUUUGUUCUCAUUUUAGCAGGUGAUACUGUCUACGUGCUGAGUUUUAUGGCCUGAGUAGCACUUCCAUCAUGGAGUCAGUUGUGCUAAGGUCUGGGGGCCUGUUAGUUACAAGCAUCAGGGACUCAAUUUUGCACAAAGCAGAUGUAGUCUUUCCUUGGAAUUCACAAUCCAGUGAGAAGUGCAGAAAGCCCAGGAUUCCCAAGGAAUCUUCUGGAAGAAGGAAAGCUGAAUGAGUUUUACAAGGUAAUUAGAGUAGAUGCAAGACAGAAUUAAAUACAAGGUCACUCUGGGAAACUUGGGAGUCGAUAACAAGACAGAAGGCUCAUUCAGCCAGACCUGAGCCUCUGAGUUCCACGGGGGUGCUUCUAGGCAGAGCUGGAGUGAGGGCAGACAUGGCUGCAUCCUGUGGCCAGUGGUACAGGCUUGCCCCAUGCUUCCUGUCCUCUCUUUCCUCUUUCAGAUUUCAACCAGAGGAACAGAUGCCAUCUGGCUGUGCGGGCAGCAUGCUUCCUCUCUGGAGAGCACUCCUGGGCACAGGGAGUUUGUGUCCUCUGGGAGGAGUUUGCGGCUGACCUUCCGGGCACACUCUCCUUCCCAGAACAAGAUCACACACAGCCACAAAGGUUUCCUGGCUCUCUACCAAGCUGUAGAAAUGGCCCUGCUUUCAUCUGCUGGAUGUUCUUCCACAUUCCACAUCCUUGAAGAUACAUUGCACCUGUUUGCUGUAUAGUGCACAGAAUGUCCUGGGGCUACCACUCUUUACGUUCAAUGUGCCCUUUUGUGAAGACCU
rnacentral:lncRNA from 1 species